rnacentral:rRNA from 1 species
ACGCGUGGAACCUUACCAGGUCUUGACAUCCCAUUGACCGCUAUGGAGACAUAGUUUCCCCUUCGGGGGCAACGGUGACAGGUGGUGCAUGGUUGUCGUCAGCUCGUGUCGUGAGAUGUUGGGUUAAGUCCCGCAACGAGCGCAACCCUUAUUCUUAGUUGCCAUCAUUCAGUUGGGCACUCUAAGGGGACUGCCGGUGAUAAACCGGAGGAAGGUGGGGAUGACGUCAAAUCAUCAUGCCCCUUAUGACCUGGGCUACACACGUGCUACAAUGGACGGUACAAACGGUUGCCAACCCGCGAGGGGGAGCUAAUCCGAUAAAACCGUUCUCAGUUCGGAUUGUAGGCUGCAACUCGCCUACAUGAAGCCGGAAUCGCUAGUAAUCGCGGAUCAGCAUGCCGCGGUGAAUACGUUCCCGGGCCUUGUACUCACCGCCCGU